rnacentral:rRNA from 1 species
UACGGGGGGAGCAAGCGUUGUUCGGAUUUACUGGGCGUAAAGGGCGCGUAGGCGGCCACCGCAAGUCAGUUGUGAAAUCUCUGGGCUUAACCCAGAACGGUCAGCUGAUACUGCGGGGCUAGAGUGCAGAAGGGGCAACUGGAAUUCUUGGUGUAGCGGUGAAAUGCGUAGAUAUCAAGAGGAACACCUGCGGCGAAGGCGGGUUGCUGGGCUGACACUGACGCUGAAGUGCGAAAGCCAGGGGAGCGAACGGG